rnacentral:rRNA from 1 species
GACGAACGCUGGCGGCGUGCUUAACACAUGCAAGUCGUACGGGCUUGGGGGGCAACUCCCAAGUCAGUGGCGAACGGGUGCGUAACACGUGAGCAACUUGCCCUAUGGUGGGGGAUAGCCGGCCCAACGGCCGGGUAAUACCGCAUAUGGCGCCGGGGUCACAUGGCCCUGGUGGGGAAAGCGGCCGCAAGGUCGCGCCAAAGGUGGGGCUCGCGACGUAUCAGCUAGUUGGCGGGGUAACGCCCACCAAGGCUACGACGCGUAGCUGGUCUGAGAGGAUGGCCAGCCACAUUGGGACUGAGAUACGGCCCAGACUCCUACGGGAGGCAGCAGUGGGGAAUAUUGCGCAAUGGCCGCAAGGCUGACGCAGCGACGCCGCGUGUGGGAUGACGGCCUGG